AAUAUAUGCAGGGACUAUAUUAUGCUAUUCUGAAAAUAUAAGGUUCUGGGUGAAUGUUUGAUGUGCUUUGAAUGUCAAGUUGAAUCUGUUGAAUGAGGUAUUAUGUGUAAUUGGAACUAAUUUGGGUUAGGUUGAUAUCUGAUAUGGUUAAGUGGUUUUAUUUACUGUAAAUUAUAUGACAUUGAUAAUUGAUGGGAAACAUGGGUUGUUAGAACUUAGGUCUGUGAGUGAAAGUGAGACACUGGUUAAGGGUGUAUGGAAACUAGACCACCGUAGAAUAAUUAGGAUACCUUAUUAAAGCCAAAUUCAGAGUGUUAGGAUGCCUUCUGUGUUGGUAGGAUAGAGGGAACCUAGAAACCAGAGCUGGCACGUCACUGAUCAUAGAGCAGCCCUGGCCUGGUCCAGUACGUUGUGACUAGUCAUACGUGUUGGUGACGAAGGUGAGUCUGCUGCGGUGGACAUCUGUUCCCACCCCGUUGACUAAUUGGGAUAAGAAGGUUGGAGAGAGUAGAACCCCUAGGCAAGGAUCUGUAACUGAAAUUGGAUUGGAUUUGAGUUGGGAAGAGGGAAGUGUCAUGGUGAUUUUGGGCAUCUGUGGUAUUGGGGGUGUUUGGGCUGGUUAGGUAACUUAGGCAAGUUAAAUGGAACCUAUGUGAGGCAUAAAAUUGAGCAAGAACACAUUAAAAAUGACCAUUCUGACUUUAGUUCCCUAAGUCUUAGGAAUGUGGAAAUUCUAACCAAGAGCAAACCUAGAUAAACUCAUUUUUACCCUAGGGACAAAUUAAAAUGAACAAAUUAGUUUAAAU
rnacentral:lncRNA from 1 species